rnacentral:tRNA from 1 species
GCUGUCCCAUUCGUCUAGAGGCCUAGGACGCCGCCCUCUCACGGCGGCAACAGGGGUUCGAAUCCCCUAUGGG